CACGUAGGGGCCAAGCGUUGUCCGGAUUCAUUGGGCGUAAAGAGCUCGUAGGCGGUUUGUCGCGUCUGCUGUGAAAACUCGGGGCUUAACUCCGGGCCUGCAGUGGGUACGGGCAGACUAGAGUGCGGUAGGGGAGACUGGAAUUCCUGGUGUAGCGGUGAAAUGCGCAGAUAUCAGGAGGAACACCGGUGGCGAAGGCGGGUCUCUGGGCCGUAACUGACGCUGAGGAGCGAAAGCGUGGGGAGCGAACAGG
rnacentral:rRNA from 1 species